rnacentral:lncRNA from 1 species
CCAAAAAGGGCCCAAAUAAGCAUUUUCUUGGUUUUCGCACUAUAACUUUAGUUUAAGUAAAUAGAAAUCUAUGAAAUUUUGACAUAAGGUUUAUGACAACAAAAGAAAGGUUGGGAUUGAUUUUGGGAGUUUUGGUUCCAACAGUUUAGGAAUUAGGGGCCAAAAAAAAGGGCCCAAAUAAGCAUUAUUCUUGGUUUUCGCACAAUAACUUUAGUUUAAGUAAAUAGAAAUCAAUGAAAUUUAAACACAAUGUUUAUGACCACAAAAG